rnacentral:rRNA from 1 species
CUACGGGCGGCUACAGUGAGGAAUAUUGCACAAUGGGGGAAACCCUGAUGCAGCAACGCCGCGUGGAGGAUGACGCAUUUCGGUGUGUAAACUCCUUUUAUGAGUCAAGAAAAUGACGGUAGCUCAUGAAUAAGCACCGGCUAACUCCGUGCCAGCAGCCGCGGUAAUACGGAGGGUGCAAGCGUUACUCGGAAUCACUGGGCGUAAAGGACGCGUAGGCGGGUUGGAAAGUCAGGUGUGAAAUCCUACAGCUUAACUGUAGAACUGCACUUGAAACUUCUAACCUAGAGUAUGGGAGGGGGAGAUGGAAUUAGUGGUGUAGGGGUAAAAUCCGUAGAUAUCACUAGGAAUACCGAAAGCGAAGGCGAUCUCCUGGAACAUUACUGACGCUAAGGCGUGAAAGCGUGGGGAGCAAACGGGAUUAGAUACCCUUGUAGUC